rnacentral:rRNA from 1 species
GAUGAACGCUGGCGGCGUGCCUAAUACAUGCAAGUCGAACGAAACUUCUUUAUCACCGAGUGCUUGCACUCACCGAUAAAGAGUUGAGUGGCGAACGGGUGAGUAACACGUGGGCAACCUGCCCAAAAGAGGGGGAUAACACUUGGAAACAGGUGCUAAUACCGCAUAACCAUAGUUACCGCAUGGUAACUAUGUAAAAGGUGGCUGUGCUACCGCUUUUGGAUGGGCCCGCGGCGCAUUAGCUAGUUGGUGGGGUAAAGGCUUACCAAGGCAAUGAUGCGUAGCCGAACUGAGAGGUUGAUCGGCCACAUUGGGACUGAGACACGGCCCAAACUCCUACGGGAGGCAGCAGUAGGGAAUCUUCCACAAUGGGCGAAAGCCUGAUGGAGCAACGCCGCGUGGGUGAAGAAGGUCUUCGGAUCGUAAAACCCUGUUGUUAGAGAAGAAAGUGCGUGAGAGUAACUGUUCACGUUUCGACGGUAUCUAACCAGAAAGCCACGGCUAACUACGUGCCAGCAGCCGCGGUAAUACGUAGGUGGCAAGCGUUAUCCGGAUUUAUUGGGCGUAAAGGGAACGCAGGCGGUCUUUUAAGUCUGAUGUGAAAGCCUUCGGCUUAACCGAAGUAGUGCAUUGGAAACUGGGAGACUUGAGUGCAGAAGAGGAGAGUGGAACUCCAUGUGUAGCGGUGAAAUGCGUAGAUAUAUGGAAGAACACCAGUGGCGAAAGCGGCUCUCUGGUCUGUAACUGACGCUGAG